rnacentral:rRNA from 1 species
GUUGGUUGGAGCUGGCAUUUCCUUCAAUUUGGGGAGGGCAUGGGCACACCUUCUCUUUUAUUCACACACCCCCCUGCACGUGUGAGACAGAGAGAUUUUUGGAGGGGGAGGGUUAUUGGACCCUUUCUUUUUGGCUCUCUGUCUAUUUAAUUAAUAUAAACUCAAUUUAUUUUAAAAUGAAUGUAAGGGAUGUAACACAUAUAAUAAUAAGUUUCAACAACGGAUGUAUUGGCUCUCGCAUCGAUGAAGAACGCAGCGAAAUGAGAUAAGUAAUGUGAAUGGCAGAAUUCAGUGAAUCAUUGAAUCUUUGAACGCACCCUCCGCUCCUUCGUAUUCCUUCGAGCAUGCCUGUUUGAGUAUCAUGAAAUAUUUAAAGUAAGAUAUUUUGUUAAUUCAAUCGGUUUUGCUUUGGUAUGGGAGGUCUAUUGCAGCUUCACACACGCUCCUUCUUGUUCAUUAGCUGGAUGUCAGUGUUAUGCUUGGUUCCACUCAGCGUGAUAAGUUAUUUAUCGCUGAGGACACACUUUUUACUCUGUAAAAAGAGUUUGGGAGGGGUGGCCAAGGUAAAUGCAGAUGAACCGCUUCUAAUAGUCCAUUGACUUGGACAAUCAAUAUUUAUGAUCUGAUCUCAAAUCAGGUAG